rnacentral:rRNA from 1 species
UUUGAUCCUGGCUCAGAACGAACGCUGGCGGCAGGCCUAACACAUGCAAGUCGAGCGCACCCUUCGGGGCGAGCGGCGGACGGGUUAGUAACGCGUGGGAACAUACCCUUUUCUACGGAAUAGCCUCGGGAAACUGAGAGUAAUACCGUAUACGCCCUUCGGGGGAAAGAUUUAUCGGAGAAGGAUUGGCCCGCGUUAGAUUAGAUAGUUGGUGGGGUAAUGGCCUACCAAGUCUACGAUCUAUAGCUGGUUUUAGAGGAUGAUCAGCAACACUGGGACUGAGACACGGCCCAGACUCCUACGGGAGGCAGCAGUGGGGAAUCUUAGACAAUGGGCGCAAGCCUGAUCUAGCCAUGCCGCGUGUGUGAUGAAGGCCUUAGGGUCGUAAAGCACUUUCGCUAGGGAUGAUAAUGACAGUACCUAGUAAAGAAACCCCGGCUAACUCCGUGCCAGCAGCCGCGGUAAUA